GACGAACGCUGGCGGCGUGCCUAACACAUGCAAGUCGAGCGGUCCAGCACUCAAGCUUGCUUGGGUGCUGGGUAGCGGCGAACGGGUGAGUAACGCGUGGGUGACCUGCCCGGGAGACUGGGAUAACAGUUCGAAAGGGCUGCUAAUACCGGAUGAUCCCCAGCACUCAACCGAAGGAAUUAGGCUUGGUUUUAGAAGAAGCCUUUCUGUAGGUUUAAUGAGGUUUUUUUCUAGGGUACAGCCUGGUUUUUUGGGUUGAGUGCUGGGGCAAAGCGUUUAGCGCUCCUGGAUGGGCCCGCGUCCCAUUAGCUAGUUGGUGGGGUAAUGGCCUACCAAGGCGGCGAUGGGUAGCCGGUCUGAGAGGAUGGUCGGCCACACUGGGACUGAGACACGGCCCAGACUCCUACGGGAGGCAGCAGUGGGGGAAUUUUGCGCAAUGGGGGGAACCCUGACGCAGCGACGCCGCGUGGGUGAUGAAGGCCUUCGGGUUGUAAAGCCCUGUUGGGGGGGAAGAUANUGAC
rnacentral:rRNA from 1 species